rnacentral:rRNA from 1 species
AUUGAACGCUGGCGGCAGGCCUAACACAUGCACGUCGAGCGGAGCGUCGGUCGGGUGAGUAACGCCUAGGAAUCUGCCUGUUACUGGGGGAUAACGUCCGGAAACGGGCGCUCAUACCGCAUACUAUCAGAUGAGCCUAGGACGGCUUAGCUAGUGGGUGGGGUAAAGGCCGACCAAGGCGACGAUCCGUAACUGGUAUGAGAGGAUGAUCAGUCACACGGGAACUGAGACACGGUGAAGAUGCCUACGGGGGGCAGCAGUGGGGAUUAUUGGACAAUGAGCGAAAGCAUGAUCCAGCAAUGCCGCGUGUGUGAAGAAGGUCUUCGGAUUGUAAAGCACGUUAAGUUGGGAGGCGUUACCAACAGAAUAAGCAACGGCUAACUUCGUGCCAGCAGCCGCGGUAAUUC